GGCCGCCUACCGGCUGCAGAGGAGAAGGGAGGAAAGGGUGGAAUCUCAACACAAGUGGUAGGCAACUUUGAAAACAAUAAAUAGAUGAAGAAUGGAGAGACCUCAAAAGGAGAGUCUGGGAACCCUAGCCAAAGGGCCUGGCUCUGUCAUCCAGACUGGAAUGCAGUGUUGGAGUCACAGCUCACUGCAGCCUCAACCUCUCAGGCUCAAGUGAACCUCCCACCCCAGCUUCCCAGACCCACAUAUGCUACCAUGUGGCCCUCCCUACUCAACCUCAGUAUAUCUUUACUGAAAAACACAUGCCAAAGAACAACACCCAGAGAGCUGGAAACACUGGAAAAGAUUUCGUGAUGCCCCCAACUUUACUUUAUAGGGAAGGCUAUAAUGUGGUAAAAUCGUGGGGACUUAAUUCCAUCAUAUGGAGGUUACUGAAUGUAUCAGAGACAGCCUGCAGUUCAUCACCACACAAAUUAGGAGCAACGUAAGAAGAGAAAAAGAAAAAGGA
rnacentral:lncRNA from 1 species